AUAAGUAUGUGCCCCCUUUUCUACACUCUAGUCACCUCCGGAGCUGCGUUCAUAAUUCUUCAUUGUAAGUUCUGGUAGCUCAGAAGCAGCUUUAAGUGUGACUAGAGCAGUGUUUUCCAAGCCUCCAGUGUCUCCAGCUGUUGCAAACCUACAACUCCCAGCAUGCCCGGACAGCCGAAGGCAAUAAUUGCCAUCUUUAACUCUAUCAUCUCCAGGUUCAGCUGAUGAGCGGAUCCCUCUCAGGAAUGUGAAGUGUUUGUGGGACGGAUGGCGGUGAAGGACAAGUGUUCAGCAGCAGAUGUGCCGCCAAGACAUGUGACGCUGCCAGACAGCUGCCGCUCCGCUUCACUCAUCACCACAGGAGUCUGGAAAAGCUGGAUAGGAAGCCACGUGCCAGCAGUCAUGGCGGCGCAUGUUAUGCAAUACUCUGGCGGUCAAGUCACUUACCGAUCUCUCCUUGGUCGUUUAAGUCAAAUUCCAUGAAUUUUUCUAGAAGAAAAAAUAAGCGGAAGGUGAUGAAUGGAAUGAAUCAACAGAUCCUCUUAUAACUUCCCUUUUAAUCAGCAAGAAAAACAAUCAGGAACCAAAAAAAGAAAAAUCUUUUAAUCCACGUGAUGAGGAAGCGAGCGGCGGGCGCGAAACAAACACAACGCUUUCCCUACAAUAAAAAAAGUAGAUAAGUCCUAGAGAUAAUUCCUGGAGUCGCCUCGUGAAGCCGUAAUUUAUCUUAUUUAGUCAUUUCAUAGUUAUAUCUGUUUCUGGAAAAGCUGGGUGACAACUAGUAUGGCCCCCAUUACAGCUCUGAAAACAUUCCCACAUCUCCAUUGCAAAUCUAGAGGUGGCAGCAGGAUAGCUGAGUAACUUUGUCAUUCAGGACAUGCUCCUCUACAUGGGUUCUCACCCAGCUUUCCUGGACUCCUUAGUGUCAAAGCUGCUUAAAGGGGUACUC